rnacentral:piRNA from 1 species
UGCACGGUUUUAGAUGCUCCUGGAGUUU